rnacentral:tRNA from 1 species
GGAGAGGUGCGAGAGUGGUUGAAUCGGGCGGUCUCGAAAACCGUUAUAGCAGCAAUGCUAUCGAGGGUUCGAAUCCCUCCCUCUCCG